GCAAGUUUCUGAUCCUCUUCUCCUCCAAUUCUGUUCACCCGAGAGCUGAGGGCACAUAAUGUCAUCAUCUUCAUCAAGGACCUCAGCAAUAAAGCGCUCACCAGCUAGGGAUUUCCUUCAUAUAAUUCCAAGAAAUAAGUUGAUAUAUGAUGGAACAAUUCGAUUGACAGAAUCAAUGUCGUACCCUGUGGAUAAAUUCUUGGAGGAAAAAGCAAGAUCAAAUGAAUUUUUUCGAUGUUGUUUAUAUGAAUGGUCUUGGUAUGAAGACGAUAGUUUAUGGGAUAUAUAUCACGAAGUCAUCAAAAGUCGUCAUCCCAUGUAUGUGGAUGGAGAAACAAUUACUGAUAUGGGUUGGAAAUUUGUACGACAAAGGUUUACGGAUCAUAAUGAUCAUUUUGCUCCAAUAAAUAUUCUUAGUAUAA